rnacentral:rRNA from 1 species
UACGUAGGUGGCAAGCGUUGUCCGGAUUUACUGGGCGUAAAGAGCGCGCAGGCGGUCGUUCAAGUCGAGUGUGAAAGCCCCCGGCUCAACUGGGGAGGGUCACUCGAUACUGAUCGACUCGAAGGCAGAAGGGGAAGCGGAAUUCCCGGUGUAGUGGUGAAAUGCGUAGAUAUCGGGAGGAACACCAGUGGCGAAGGCGGCUUUCUGGUCUGCUCUUGACGCUGAGGCGCGAAAGCUAGGGUAGCAAACGGG